rnacentral:rRNA from 1 species
CCUACGGGAGGCAGCAGUGGGGAAUAUUGGACAAUGGGGGCAACCCUGAUCCAGCCAUGCCGCAUGUGUGAAGAAGGCCCUCGGGUUGUAAAGCACUUUCAGUGAGGAAGAACGCCUGGUGGUUAAUACCCAUCAGGAAAGACAUCACUCACAGAAGAAGCACCGGCUAACUCCGUGCCAGCAGCCGCGGUAAUACGGAGGGUGCGAGCGUUAAUCGGAAUUACUGGGCGUAAAGCGCGCGUAGGUGGCUUGAUAAGCCGGUUGUGAAAGCCCCGGGCUCAACCUGGGAACGGCAUCCGGAACUGUCAAGCUAGAGUGCAGGAGAGGAAGGUAGAAUUCCCGGUGUAGCGGUGAAAUGCGUAGAGAUCGGGAGGAAUACCAGUGGCGAAGGCGGCCUUCUGGACUGACACUGACACUGAGGUGCGAAAGCGUGGGUAGCAAACAGGAUUAGAUACCCUUGUAGUC